UGCGGUAGGGGAGAUUGGAAUUCCUGGUGUAGCGGUGGAAUGCGCAGAUAUCAGGAGGAACACCGAUGGCGAAGGCAGAUCUCUGGGCCGUAACUGACGCUGAGGAGCGAAAGGGUGGGGAGCAAACAGGCUUAGAUACCCUGGUAGUCCACCCCGUAAACGUUGGGAACUAGUUGUGGGGUCCAUUCCACGGAUUCCGUGACGCAGCUAACGCAUUAAGUUCCCCGCCUGGGGAGUACGGCCGCAAGGCUAAAACUCAAAGGAAUUGACGGGGACCCGCACAAGCGGCGGAGCAUGCGGAUUAAUUCGAUGCAACGCGAAGAACCUUACCAAGGCUUGACAUAUACGAGAACGGGCCAGAAAUGGUCAACUCUUUGGACACUCGUAAACAGGUGGUGCAUGGUUGUCGUCAGCUCGUGUCGUGAGAUGUUGGGUUAAGUCCCGCAACGAGCGCAACCCUCGUUCUAUGUUGCCAGCACGUAAUGGUGGGAACUCAUGGGAUACUGCCGGGGUCAACUCGGAGGAAGGUGGGGAUGACGUCAAAUCAUCAUGCCCCUUAUGUCUUGGGCUUCACGCAUGCUACAAUGGCCGGUACAAAGGGCUGCAAUACCGCGAGGUGGAGCGAAUCCCAAAAAGCCGGUCCCAGUUCGGAUUGAGGUCUGCAACUCGACCUCAUGAAGUCGGAGUCGCUAGUAAUCGCAGAUCAGCAACGCUGCGGUGAAUACGUUCCCGGGUCUUGUACACACCGCCCGUCAAGUCAUGAAAGUCGGUAACACCUGAAGCCGGUGGCCUAACCCUU
rnacentral:rRNA from 1 species